CAAGUGCUGGUGUCUGUGAUCACCUAUGGCAGAUUCAUUUGAUGUGAAUUUCCUCGUACUAUUGCAAUUUAGGAGUAUGGGCAGAGGUGACUUUUUCUGGUUGUGUGGGUGCCCUGGACUUGGAACCCUCUGAGAAAAUUGUGAAGAAGGACUUGUCUCAAGGCCAUACCAUCUUUCUAUUCUUUCUUAGUCACCUGGCCUACUGAUGAACACAGACCUGACAACAGUAGCAGCAGUUGUUGUACCAGAUCACCAGAGAUUUACAGAGUUCCUUAUUUCCAAGGAGUGUUGCUGAAGUGUGGAGGUCAUGGUCCUGACAGAGAGCC